rnacentral:lncRNA from 1 species
CAAAAAUAUUAAUGUCAAAAAACCAGUGUCACAAAGUAAUCAUGUGACAUAUAUAUAUUCAUUGUCAUAAGCUUAUGACAAUGGAUUCUAGUGUCAUAUAGGCUUUGUAGGAUCUAAUGCUGAACGUGUAAAUAUUGCCACAUAGACAAGUGCCAUGUAGGAUCCAAUGCUGAUGCGGCAAGGCAAGAAAAAUGUCAUAAAUGGCAUGUUAAAGCCCACAUAUGAGGCAGGCCUCUUCAUCGGCCAUAAGCUUUUUUUGGGCUGACAUUGCCCGGCCUAUUUUUUAUUUUCGUUUUUUUCCUAUUUUCCAACCAUGGGCCAUUAUUUCAUUUUCAGUUUUUUCUUAGCCCAUUUUUAGCCCAAAUAAUUUUAGCCCGUGUGUUUUUUUUUCAGUCCAAGCAAUUGAACCCGAAUUAUUUUUUCAGCCCACAUACAGCCCACUCGAUUUUUUUAUCCUGUACAUUUCAGCCCAAACAUUUAUUCCAGCCUACACAAUUUAGCCCAUAUAUUUUUUCCCAGCAACAAAAACCACAGCCCAACAUGCAAAAUAUAGAAUUGUGACCCAUAUAAGAAUUCAGAUUCAAACAACGUUCCACAAGUCUUAAAAUGCAAUAGAUUACAUCUAUCCAAUUCAUCAUGCAGCAGCUUACAACUUGCUAUAACUUGCUGUCUCAAAACAUAGCAUUCCACAAUAGUUAUCUCAAUAUACUUGUCUCAAAAAAACAACACAGCAGCGAGCAUGCACAACAGCAGCGAGCAAGCGCAGCACAACAGCAAGCACGCACAGCAGCGGCGCAGCACAGCAGCAACGCAGCAGCAGCACAACACAGCAGCAGGCGCAGCAGCACAACACAGCAGCAGGCGCAGCAGCACAACAUAGUCUCAGACACAGAUGCCACCAAAAUUUGUGCCCAAGUGAGUUAGACAGCUUACUACUAAUCAUGAGGUCAUGCAAACUUGUUGCCAAACAUGGUCCGAAGAAAACAUUGAAUUUCAAGGUUUUGCUGCUUCAGCUUCUCAGUUUCUUCUUGGUUCUUCCUUGCUGCUUCUUCAUUCUUCCUUGCUACCUCUUUUUGCUCCUCUAAUUCCUUGUGCACAUCAGCCAGCUCUGAGCGCAACCCUGCUGCUCCCAUCUUCUCAGCUUGCAAUUCACUCUCAAGCCCAUUUACACGUUCAUUCAUAGCAGUAACUUUGGCAUUUUUCUUCAUCACUGCCGACUGCAUACCAACGUUGCGAAGAAAUGUUGAAUUUUGCAGAACAUGAGCUACAGCUUCAACAGCGGACUUCGAAGUUUGCCCUUCCUCUGUUGGUUCAGCAACAUAUGCCUCCAUUUGAGC